AGCUCCUCGGCCGUGCCUGUGUGUGGGGACAGCAUUUCCGGGAGCUGGAGCGCUGCUCCCUUCCCUCCCGGCCCUCCCUUCCCUCACGGCCCUCCCGGCCCUCCUUCCCCGGACGCUGCGGGUUGUUGUGUGGGCAGCCUCAGUCACUGCGGGCCGCGCUUGCCUGAGGCUGGAUACUCAUCUCCCCCCUCUCCCUCCUCCCAGCCUGCCGCUAGUUUUGAUGGGAUAUUUGUCUCCCCGUGCCGGGCUGCUCUCUGCUUCCCUCAUCUUCCCGAGCUGGGCCUGUUUCCUCCUUCUAAUUAUUCACGCAGGAGAGCAGAUGGCAGGGGGAGUGGAUCUCUCACUCGCUCAUACAGACAUGAGGCUUUGUCACACAAAGAGAGAACAACACCAACUGCAGAAGAAAGCAAGAUAUUCCAGAGCCCGGUUCCUAGCAUCCCCCUAUUAUCUGCUUUUCUUUCAAGCGUGAUAUAUUUUGGGAAACACCAUUCAGUUCUCGGUUUUUUUUUCAUCUCAAGACAUAGCCUGCAGUUCGGUAGUCACAAACAUUUGGGAUCCCCAUUUUCAAGUCUGCAGUGGAAGCUUCGGUAACCCUGUGCAGAUGUUCCAUAAUCAGAGCAGGCCAGUCAAUAAAUUUCCUUGUCACACAAGAAAGCUGAUCA
rnacentral:lncRNA from 1 species